UUUCCCAACUUCGGUUAUAAGAUCCCUCAAAGAUGAUGAGGUUAAUAGGUUCGAGGUGGAAGCAUGGUGACAUGUGGAGCUGACGAAUACUAAUCGAUCGAAGACUUAAUCAAA
rnacentral:rRNA from 1 species